AUUUACAACAGACUCAUCCACAAAACCGAAGUGGUAGAAACAGGUCUUUUUGAAGCCAGGCGUGGUGGCUCAUGCCUGUAAUCCCAACACUUUGGGAAGCUUAGGCAGGAGUAUCGCUUGAGCCCAGGAGUUCGAGAACAGCCUGGCCAACAUGGUGAAACUCUGUCUCUACAAAAAAAACUUUAAAAAGUAGCUGGGGGUGGUGGUGUGUGCCUGUGUGGUCCCAGUUACUCGGGAGGCUGAGGUGAGCGGAUCACUUGAGCCCAGGAAGUUGAGCCACAAUGGCACCACGGCACUCCAGCCUGGGUGACAGGGCGAGAUCCUGUCUGAAAAGAAAAAAAAAAAGAAAAGAGAAGAAAAGAAAAGAAAACAGGUCUUCCUGGGAGCACCUAGACAAAGGCCUUUGUAAAGAUAAAUUACCGAGGAAUAUUUCUAGUUGCCUGUUUUCUUCAAAAUCACAGUCAAGUAAGCUGGGCGUGGUGGCUCACCUCUGUAAUCCCAGCAUUUUGGGAGGCCGAGGUGGGCAGAUCACCUGAGGUCAGGAGUUUGAGACCAGCCUGCCCAACAUGGUCAAAACCCCAUCUCUACUAAAAAUACAAAAAUUAGCCAGGUGUGGUGGCACACGCCUGUAAUCCCAGCUACUUGGGAGCCUGAGGUGGGAGAAAUACUACCCAGGAGGCAGAGGUUGCAGUGAGCCAAGAUUGUGCCAGUGCACUCCAGCCUGGGCGACAGAGCAAAACUCUGUCUCGGGAAAAAAAAAAAAAAUCGCAGUCAAGUAAAAAGAAACGCAACUAAAAGAGCCGUCAGUUAAAUACAUUCCUCUCUCGUGGCAGGACGAGUCUAUAAGAUUUGUUUUGUUUUUAAUUUAGUGUAAAGUUUUUUUAAUGUUUAAACCUUGUGACACAUCAAAUUACAUGCUUGAAGCUGUUACUUUCUGUCAAAAAAGUGAGUUUUUAAUAUGAAAAUUCUGCUUAGGUUAAAAAUUAAAAAAAAAAGAGCGAGUUUUAUACAUCCGCAUGAAUUGUUUCCUUUAGCACUAGUCAAACAGACUCCAUAACCUUCCAAAGAAGUGCCUUCGUUUAUUUACAGGGCUUAGGAAAGGAAAAAAGCUCUACAAAAGGGAAAUUUCAAAAUAGGGCUUCAGCAGGGGCCCAGGUGGAGUGAGUAGUUUUGAUAAGGUCCAGGUGGGACUCACUUCCAGGUGGUGAGGACCGCUCUCCCCGAGUCUCUCGAUCGGCCUGCUCUGGGCCCCAGAGACUGACCCUGACGGCUUCUCAGCUCCCGGUCAGCCCCGUCACCCUGGGCCAAUUCUUCAUCAUACCUGGAGACAGAAACAGCCAGGAUCACGGCAGGCUCUCUUUCAAAGGCAACAGGCAGGGCCACCAGGCUGCUGUGUGGCAAAUAUGACAUCACCCAGAGAAGCGGCCUGAGGGGGCCCCACCCUCGCGACUCCUGCUGGCUCCCGCCCACCUCCCACCUGGCUCCAGCCCACCUGCCUGCCAGGUGGCUCUCGCAGCCCAGCAAAUGCUCCCCAAGGCCAGCCUGCCUAUGUGUACAACCUUGUUGUUAUUGUGGACAGUGGUCUCCCCUCGGAAGCUGACAUUUUAUACAGGUCACCAGGUCAAAUAUGGCAAUGACUCCAAAGGCAACAUGCAUGAGGUGACACAGAACCAGCCCAGGCGCUGAGGAGUGUGGAAAGCAUCUUUCCCCAGUUAAAGCACAUCCGUCGGUGUGCUGCGCUGGCCAUCCUGACUAGGACCCUCGGUUGUAUAGCUCAGAGAUUGGGCACUUUCCUCAGCCUGAUAGAGGGAAUUGAUGAAGCCGUAAUGGGCAUCUCUGCGUCUCACUCAUCAGAGGCUUGACUAGCACCCAACCCCUCUGUUGGCGUGAGACUGUCAUCAGAGUGAACGGAUGUCCAGCUCCAAGCCCAGAACCUGCAGUGAAGGUCUGUGCAGCCUUAUCACAGACAAACACAAACUGUCCACCAGGCUGCCCGUUACCCCUUCCCAGGCCCUUAGGGAUCCGGGUGCCAGACUAUUAACCUCUGUUCCCAGUGACAAAAGUAAAUCCAUUUACAUACAAAAAAAAAAAAAAAA
rnacentral:lncRNA from 1 species